rnacentral:tRNA from 1 species
UCCCUGGUGGUCCAGUGGUUAGGACUCGUCACUUUAACUAUGGUGGCCCAGGUUCAAUUCCUGGUGAGGGAA